GUUCUCAGUUCGGACUGUAGGCUGCAACUCGCCUACACGAAGCUGGAAUCGCUAGUAAUCGCGGAUCAGCACGCCGCGGUGAAUACGUUCCCGGGCCUUGUACACACCGCCCGUCACACCAUGAGAGUCUGUAACACCCAAAGCCGGUGGGAUAACCUUUAUAGGAGUCAGCCGUCUAAGGUAGGACAGAUGAUUAGGGUGAAGUCGUAACAAGGUAGC
rnacentral:rRNA from 1 species